rnacentral:rRNA from 1 species
ACAUGCAAGUCGAACGGGAUCCGGAUUCGGUUCGGUGAGAGUGGCGGACGGGUGAGUAACGCGUGGGAAUCUGCCCAGUGGUGGGGGAUAACUGCGGGAAACUGCAGCUAAUACCGCAUGAGCCCGAGAGGGGAAAGAUUUAUCGCCAUUGGAGGAGCCCGCGUUCGAUUAGGUAGUUGGUGAGGUAACGGCUCACCAAGCCGACGAUCGAUAGCUGGUCUGAGAGGAUGAUCAGCCACACUGGGACUGAGAUACGGCCCAGACUCCUACGGGAGGCAGCAGUGGGGAAUAUUGGACAAUGGGGGCAACCCUGAUCCAGCAAUGCCGCGUGAGUGAUGAAGGCCUUCGGGUUGUAAAGCUCUUUUGCCAGGGACGAUGAUGACGGUACCUGGAGAAUAAGCCC